rnacentral:misc_RNA from 1 species
GAUGAAGAACGUAGCGAAAUGCGAUAAGUAAUGUGAAUUGCAGAAUUCAGUGAAUCAUCGAAUCUUUGAACGCACAUUGCGCCCCCUGGAAUUCCGGGGGGCAUGCCUGUUCGAGCGUCUCAGGGACGAACCCUCGCGCGGGUGUACGCGCGGUCGUGGCUGCGGUGGCGUGCCCGAGGCGGCGGCCACCGCGCUGGAAUCCAUGGGCGGACGCCUGCCGCGUGGCCGAGCGUGAUAUGACGCAUUGGCGCUCGCACGAGGAGAGGCUGCCAGCCCUGGCCCGUCUGUCGGGCGGGGGAGAGCAAGACACGUGAACUCCUCGAAUCAGGUAGGGAUACCCGCUGAACUUAAGCAUAUCAAUAAGCGGAGGA